ensembl:processed_transcript 5930403N24Rik RIKEN cDNA 5930403N24 gene
CUGUAGGCCAGAUGUGGGAAACGCAAAAACAGCAAACAGCCUAAGCCAUGCUCGUUCCUUUCUCUCCUAGAGGCGUGAAAUAAAAUAUUUUGAAAUUGGUCCUUGGAGCACCUCAAAUCGCGUCUCUCCAACUAUUCCAAUUACCGAUCACUUUUCCACAAAACAUUGUGAGGACCAUUUUCAGAAGAUCGAAACUUGCUAGCAUGUUAUCACUGUAAGAAACGACAUCAUUAAUUUUCCUCUGUGGUAAAACUAGACCGAGCCUUGAGUGUACGAAUCCAUAUUUACAGUUGGGAGGCAGCUACUCUCGUCGACACGGGUUGUUUUCCUAGCCUGCUGCCAACAUCGGAGGGACUCUCAUUUUGAACUUGUCUGUGCACAGCAUCAAGUGUGCUCCUGGAAGAGAGGCAACAGCGAGGAAAUCCUAAAAGACCGAGUCCUAGUCUCAGAAGAAAUCGCCUGCAAGGUUGAGAGACAGAAAGAAAAUCCCUGGAGACUCCACGUCUAACCCAGGCUAAAGGCAAAGCUCUACAGCGGUGUGUAGGAUAUCUCUCUCGUUCGCUACAGCCCUUGCCACCGAAGUACCAGACGCUUUUAGUGUGUGAAAGACCAGGCGUUGAUUUAAUGUAUCUGGAAGGGAGAGGGGAUAGAGGAUGCAACUUAAUAAAUAUUCCUCUAGUCUCGCUCAUGAAAACAUCCAAAACAUCUUUCGGCGUUUGCAUUUAAUGACUGCAACGUGAACGAUGGAGGCGAGAAGCAGUCGAGGGAAUGGCUCGUUUCUCUUAGUGUUGGCUCGGAAUUGUCAAACAGUUACUUUCUGUUCAUUGUAGGGAAAUAGGUCACACUUUGAGUGAAAAGGACAGUUGGUUCAAGCCAAUAACCCUUUGUUCAAGUGCUGUUUGACAGUCCCUGAGCAGAACAUCGUUGCGUGAAGUUUCAUCUCCUGUCCAGUACCUUUAGAUACAUUAUUAAAUCCCAAAGUCAUAUUCCACGGAGCGCCUGGAAGGAAUAUUUCGUCGAAACGCGUCUUGCCAACCAACGUGUUAGCACCCGUAAGGAAGCCUGCUGGACUGGCCCGAGAACCCGGCCGCCAGGAUGGACACGAAUCCCUCAUUAGCAGUUCCAACUUGAAAAGUCAACUGGGCUGGUCCAACACCACCAUCCAGGAGAUUCCCAAAGGCUCAAAAGGCAAUCUGUGCACCCACCCCACGGGAACCUUGCCCCUUCCUCUGCGUCUCCCUCCGGUUUUAAAUUGGGAUGAUUGCUAGUUCGCUUUCGGAUUUUUUCUCCCAGACAUUCGGGGGCUGCUUUUGUGGCUCCUUUGUUAACAGGCUGUCGUGCAGCUUUCCCCCCUUUUCUUUCUCCAAUGCCUAUUUGCCUGGUAUCGGCUCGUCUCCGGGGCAACCGCGGGGAAGAUUCGGAGCCCCAGGCGCCGGGAGGGGGAAGGGGCGGAGCCCGGCGGAGUGGGGGCGGGGAGGGGCGCGAGAGGAGGGGCGGAGGGAGUGGGUCAGGAGGAGACCCCAGGACCCACGAGGAGCAGAUGGCCGCUCCGGGGCGGAGCCCGUGAGCGUCAGGGGAGCGGGAGAGCCAAUCCGUCCCUGCAGCAGCGCGGGAGAGAGCCAACGAGAGUAAACACGCGGGCUGUCCCCCCCCCCCCCCGCGGUCCCUACUUUGCAGCUGAAGACGUGAUUUCCUUUGGAUAAGAAAGCUCAUUGCCAGUGUGGUUGGAAAGCUGGCGGUCCCCGGGAGAAUGGGUUGGGAGGCGGGUUUGGGCGGAGCUCUGAAAUCUCCCUCUCCCUUUCCUCCCCUCCCACCCCGACUCAGGCACCCACUAAGCCUGGCGAGAAUGGAAGAGGCGGGUGGAUGGGAGAGCGGGGCGGGGCUGGGAAAAGGGAAGAGAUUGACUCUUGCUAUGAACCUUAAGGAAUGCCAGCAAGCUAUUGGAGCUGCUGGUCUUUACCUGCUGCAGUUCCCCUACAGUUUGGUGGUCUCCCCGUAGAGUUAAGGGUUUGGGGGGGGGGGGGGGGGGGGGGGAGGCGGGGAAACACCCGCCAAAUGCAUUUAUAUAAGUGAGAUUAAAGAACCCAUAAGGACAUUAAAAAUUGGAAGCAGGCGCCUAUAGCCAACUC